rnacentral:lncRNA from 1 species
CUGAAAAAUUCAUGUGUACGCCCUGGUGUUUUGACAUUAACGUAGCUACGAGCCUAACUUUAUUUGGCCUUUUUAACAAGGCAAUAUAUGGUCGUCAUGCUAUCGAUAAAAAAUGAAAACAAAACGUUAAAAAUUACAUGCGUCCGAAGCAUGGAUUUUUCUGGAUCGACCUUUAUCAGGAACGCUUAAAGCCGAAUAUUUGAAGGCCAACAAUUUAUAAAUACCG